rnacentral:rRNA from 1 species
UACGGAGGGGACUAGCGUUGUUCGGAAUUACUGGGCGUAAAGCGCACGUAGGCGGAUUUGUAAGUCAGGGGUGAAAUCCCGGGGCUCAACCUCGGAACUGCCUUUGAUACUGCAAAUCUCGAGUCCGGAAGAGGUGAGUGGAAUUCCUAGUGUAGAGGUGAAAUUCGUAGAUAUCGGGAGGAACACCAGUGGCGGAGGCGGCUAUCUGGACGUCCACUGACGCUGAGGCGCGAAAGCGUGGGGAGCAAACAGG